UACGUAGGGUGCGAGCGUUAAUCGGAAUUACUGGGCGUAAAGCGUGCGCAGGCGGUUCGUUGUGUCGGCGGUGAAAGCCCCGGGCUUAACCUGGGAAUGGCCGUUGAAACUGGCGAACUGGAGUGUGGCAGAGGGGGGUGGAAUUCCGCGUGUAGCAGUGAAAUGCGUAGAGAUGCGGAGGAACACCGAUGGCGAAGGCAGCCCCCUGGGCUAACACUGACGCCUCAGACACGAAAGCGUGGGGAGCAAACAGG
rnacentral:rRNA from 1 species